GAAAGUAAGCAAGGGCAGACGGUGGAUGCCUUGGCUCUCGGAGGCGACGAAGGACGUGAUAAGCUGCGAAAAGCCCGGGGGAGGCGCAAAUAGCCCUUGAUCCCGGGAUAUCCGAAUGGGGCAACCCGGCAGGCUGAAGGCCUGUCAUCCCGUAAGGGAGGCGAACGUGGGGAACUGAAACAUCUAAGUACCCAUAGGAGGAGAAAAUAAACAAUGAUUCCGUAAGUAGUGGCGAGCGAACACGGAAGAGCCCAAACCCAUGUCGUCUAGGCGACACGGGGGUUGUAGGACCACGACGUGGCAAGAGGAUGGCAAGUGGAACGCCUUGGAAAGGGCGACCGUAGAGGGUGAUAGUCCCGUACACGACUGCCUGCCGAAGCCUAGUGGCAUCCUGAGUAGCGCGGGGCACGAGAAAUCUUGCGUGAAACAGCGGGGCCCAUCCCGUAAGGCUAAAUACUCCCGAGAGACCGAUAGCGAACCAGUACCGUGAGGGAAAGGUGAAAAGAACCCCGAGCAGGGGAGUGAAAUAGACCCUGAACCCGUCUGCCUACAAGCGGUCGGAGCAUAGCAAUAUGUGACGGCGUGCCUUUUGCAUAAUGAACCUACGAGUUACCUUCCCCGGCAAGGUUAAGUACCUAAGGUACGGAGCCGAAGCGAAAGCGAGUCUGAAGAGGGCGGCCAGUCGGGGGGGGUAGACGCGAAACCGAGUGAUCUACCCUUGGCCAGGUUGAAGGUUGGGUAACACCAACUGGAGGACCGGAUGGGUAAGCGUUGAAAAGCUUUCCAAUGAGCUGAGGGUAGGGGUGAAAGGCUAAUCAAACUCGGAGAUAGCUCGUACUCCCCGAAAUGCAUUUAGGUGCAGCCUCUUUAUAGUAUAUCGUGAGGUAGAGCGACUGAUUGGAUGCGAGGGCUUCACCGCCUAUCAAGUCCAGAUAAACUCCGAAUGCGCGAUAUAUAUUUACAGGGAGUGAGGGCGCGGGUGCUAAGGUCCGUGUCCGAGAGGAGAAGAAUCCAGACCACCGGCUAAGGCCCCCAAAUGAUCGUUGAGUUGAACUAACGAGGUCGGAUCGCAGAGACAGCUAGGAUGUUGGCUUGGAAGCAGCCAUUCAUUUAAAGAGUGCGUAACAGCUCACUAGUCGAGCGAUCUGGCGUGGAUAAUAAUCGGGCAUAAACGAUCUGCCGAAGCCGUGGAUGUCGUAAGACAUGGUAGGGGAGCAUUCCAUGCGGCGUCGAAGAUGAGGGAUGACCCUUGUUGGAGCGCAUGGAAAAGCAAAUGUAGGUAUGAGUAACGAUAAGGGGGGCGAGAAACCCCCCCGCCGAAAGACCAAGGUUUCCUGAUCAACGCUAAUCGGAUCAGGGUGAGUCGGGACCUAAGGCAAAGCCGAACGGCGCCGCCGAUGGAAGAAUGGGUUAAUAUUCCCAUACUGCCUCAUGGAGUGACGUGGAGACGGAGAAGUGACAGUCCUGCCGGCUGACGGAAUAGCCGGUUGAAGGGUGUAGAUAUUGAUUCCCGUAGGCAAAUCCGCGGGGAGAGUCGAACCUGACAGUAUACCGAGUACUUGUACGAGGUAAUAUGGACGUAACCAUGCUCCCAAGAAAAUCCGCUAAACUUAUCCAUGCGGCACCCGUACCGUAAACGGACACACGUGGUCGGGUUGAGAAUACUGAGGCGCUCGAGUGACUCACGGUUAAGGAACUAGGCAAAUUGACCCUGUAACUUCGGGAUAAAGGGUCCUCGUCGUAAGGCGAGGCGCAGAGAAUAGGUCCAGGCAACUGUUUAACAAAAACACAUGGCUGUGCUAAAUGGAAACAUGACGUAUACAGCCUGACACCUGCCCGGUGCUGGAAGGUUAAGAGGAGAUGUCAUCGCAAGAGAAGCGUUGAAUUGAAGCCCCAGUAAACGGCGGCCGUAACUAUAACGGUCCUAAGGUAGCGAAAUUCCUUGUCGGGUAAGUUCCGACCUGCACGAAUGGUGUAAUGAUCUGGACACUGUCUCAACCGUGAGCUCGGUGAAAUUGUAGUAUCGGUGAAGAUGCCGAUUACCCGCGAUGGGACGAAAAGACCCCGUGAACCUUUACUAUAGCUUUACAUUGAAUUUGGGCAGACGAUGUGUAGGAUAGGCCGGAGGCUUUGAAGGGGGUACGCCAGUAUCCUUGGAGCCGCCGUUGAAAUACGGCCCUUCGGUUGUUUGAGUUCUAACUCCUAGGCAGGAGGACACUGUAUGGUGGGUAGUUUGACUGGGGUGGUCGCCUCCAAAAGCGUAACGGAGGCUUCUAAAGGUGCCCUCAGACCGAUUGGUAACCGGUCGUAGAGUGUAAUGGCAUAAGGGCGCUUGACUGGGAGAGAUACAACUCGAUCAGGUAGGAAACUAGAGCAUAGUGAUCCGGUGGUUCCGCAUGGAAGGGCCAUCGCUCAAAGGAUAAAAGGUACUCCGGGGAUAACAGGCUGAUCAUUCCCAAGAGCUCAUAUCGACGGAAUGGUUUGGCACCUCGAUGUCGGCUCGUCACAUCCUGGGGCUGGAGAAGGUCCCAAGGGUUGGGCUGUUCGCCCAUUAAAGUGGCACGCGAGCUGGGUUCAGAACGUCGUGAGACAGUUCGGUCUCUAUCUAUCGUGGGCGCAGGAGAUUUGAGGGGCUCUGACACUAGUACGAGAGGACCGUGUUGGACGUACCACUGGUUUACCGGUUGUCCCGCCAGGGGCACCGCCGGGUAUCUAAGUACGGAUCGGAUAAGUGCUGAAAGCAUCUAAGUACGAAGCCGGCCUCAAGAUUAGAUCUCCCUGAAGGGUGGUUAUAGACGAUGACCUUGAUAGGCCACAGGUGUAAGGGCGGCGACGUCCGAGCCGAGUGGUACUAAUAGCCCGGGACUUUCCUCA
rnacentral:rRNA from 1 species